ACAGUAUCAAUUCUCCACAUAACCUUGCAGUUACGACAUACAUGUUGGAGCAGGUCGGCAUUGCUUUUCCUGACACAGACAGCGACGUGAUAACAGCUGCUUGCAAGACUUAUUUUGAGUCUUUGAAAAGGAGCCAUCGUCUCGAUCAGCCAGAAAAUGCUCCCCAGAAAAAGAAAUUAAACAAUGCAAUGAAGACUAGACAACGGAAAACAAGGUUGCUGGCCUCCAGGGCUAGAUGUGUACAGACUCCCGCUGAAAUGUGACCUGAUGACCUGAUGUCAGAAGAAGAAGAUGGCGUCGUAGAUGGACGGGCGGUGUGGAUA